UACAGAGGGUGCGAGCGUUAAUCGGAAUUACUGGGCGUAAAGCGUGCGUAGACGGUUACUUAAGUCGGGUGUGAAAGCCCCGGGCUCAACCUGGGAAUUGCAUUCGAGACUGAAUAGCUAGGGUACGGUAGAGGGAAGUGGAAUUUCCGGUGUAGCGGUGAAAUGCGUAGAUAUCGGAAGGAACAUCAGUGGCGAAAGCGACUUCCUGGACCAGUACCGACGUUCAGGCACGAAAGCGUGGGGAGCAAACAGG
rnacentral:rRNA from 1 species